AUAAAUUCUAUGAAGAGAAGAGUACUUAUUUUAAAGUAUCUAUUAGCGAGUAAGAGUAUGGUGAAAGUCUUAUAAGAUAUGAAAUAAGGAAGAGGGACUUGGAGAAGCUGCUUGAGCAUUAUUGUAAGAGUAUGCCGCUGUAAACUAGCGUUAAAGUUAUAAGUGAGUUAAUUUAUUUUUAAAAUUAACUAAAUUGAGUGGUACCGCGGAAAUAUUUUCGUCUCUUUG
rnacentral:ncRNA from 1 species